CAAUGGGCGCAAGCCUGAUCCAGCCAUGCCGCGUGCGGGAAGAAGGCCUUCGGGUUGUAAACCGCUUUUGUCAGGGAAGAAAAGGUUCUGGCUAAUACCUGGGACUCAUGACGGUACCUGAAGAAUAAGCACCGGCUAACUCCGUGCCAGCAGCCGCGGUAAUACGGAGGGGGUUAGCGUUGUUCGGAAUUACUGGGCGUAAAGCGCGCGUAGGCGGACUGGAAAGUUGGGGGUGAAAUCCCAGGGCUCAACCCUGGAACUGCCUCCAAAACUAUCGGUCUAGAGUUCGAGAGAGGUGAGUGGAAUUCCGAGUGUAGAGGUGAAAUUCGUAGAUAUUCGGAGGAACACCAGUGGCGAAGGCGGCUCACUGGCUCGAUACUGACGCUGAGGUGCGAAAGUGUGGGGAGCAAACAGGAUUAGAUACCCUGGUAGUCCACACCGUAAACGCUGUCUACUAGCUGUGUGUGCCUUUAAGGCGUGCGUAGCGAAGCUAACGCGCUAAGUAGACCGCCUGGGGAGUACGGCCGCAAGGUUAAAACUCAAAUGAAUUGACGGGGGCCCGCACAAGCGGUGGAGCAUGUGGUUUAAUUCGAUGCAACGCGAAGAACCUUACCUACACUUGACAUGUUGAGAAGUUACCAGAGAUGGUUUCGUGCCUUCGGGAACUCAAACACAGGUGCUGCAUGGCUGUCGUCAGCUCGUGUCGUGAGAUGUUCGGUUAAGUCCGGCAACGAGCGCAACCCACAUCCUUAGUUGCCAGCAGGUUAAGCUGGGCACUCUAGGGAAACUGCCCGUGAUAAGCGGGAGGAAGGUGUGGAUGACGUCAAGUCCUCAUGGCCCUUACGGGUUGGGCUACACACGUGCUACAAUGG
rnacentral:rRNA from 1 species